UUUUUACAAGAAAGUCCCAGCAAGCAUUGCAUUCCAUCCUCAUGAGUACAGUGUCACUGUAUCACUUCAGUGAAGAACACAAACAGAAAUCACACACACACAAAAACCAGCCAUAUCUUGGGACAACCUAAGAAUAAGGAGUGUAUUUGCACUACUGGUGAAGAAACUAAGAAAAAUCCUUAGAGUUAAAAUAUAAAUGUUUUGUAAAAGUAUCUGAUGGAUAUUUCAAGAGCCAUUAAUAUUUAAGAAGGAAAUUGUCAGUGUAUAUUUGUAACUGCAUUUUGCGGUAGUCUGAUAUUUUGUCACUACCCAUUGCAUUUGUGCUAGAAACCACGUUAAUAUUCACUUUAAAAGAAUAUCCAUCUGUUAAACAGCUGUUUCAACUUAAAGCUUGUACCAUAUGUGCGGUGUUACAGUGGAAGUAGUACAGGUUUUUUUUCUUAGUUUAGUCAUUUGAUGUUUUUAUUCAUAUUAAAUUACAAAAAAAUUGCACAAAAAUUUGAAAAUCACAUUUAAAGUUAGGGUAAUACUUGAAGCAGAACAGACUUCUGCUAAUAUUACUUCUGUAAUGUUUUAUAUCAGAAGACCAAACAGUGCUUUUUACAUAAAUCAGCCAGUAGGACACACUGGUUCUUUUUAUUUCUUUUUUGCUUGAUACCGUAUGCUAAAUAUGUACCUCUGCCAUGCAGCUGUUCUCUAGCAUGCAUACACUGGUGAAAAUGUAGAUAAAGUUAUAAUUUAAAACAGAAUUUAGCAGCUUUACUGGAAGGAACAAUCUUACAGAAAAUAAUUCCAUUUGGACAAAUUGUAGCAAUAUGGUGGCAUUUCUGGAUGGGGAUGAUGAAGGGGAACACUGGUGUCACUGACAUUAAAACAAAAAUGUAGAUUUUAUUGCCAUGCCUCUGCAGAGCUCAUUCAGGAAAUGUCCCAAGCAUCAUUUAAAUGAGAAAUCCCAACACAACCCACCCCACCCCAAAUUGAUCUGUUUCAUCAUAAUCUGAUAGUAACGGUGACAAACCUCAACUGGGACCAACUUUUUUUCAUCAUACCUAGAAGAGUGAACAGAAUGAGAAGAAAGCAUACAAAGUUACCUCUGUAGAUACCAUGUUGUUGUUAAGUAUGCCUUAUUUUAUGAGCAGGAUUUAUACUUUAGUGUUCAAAAGUGUACAUACAAUAUCUUCUGAUAUAAUGGAGCACAAAUGAUGCAGCACAUCAUGUCUACUGGUUGCAGUGAAUUAAACAACUAUUUCCAGUAAUGCACAUCUUAAUAUGAAUGCUAAUUAGAUGAUGUAUUUCUGUUUAGAUUUUUAUUUUUCAAAAUAGCUGUCGCAAGGACGGGUCUAUUGACCAUGCCUGUAUGCUAUUAAAAAUACACUUUGGUGUGGACUUCUCUUCCUAAUCUCUGGGCAUUUUCUCCUGUGAGUAGGAUUGAAAUUGGAUCUGGAAUAAUACUUGAAACUUCUUUUAACAACAACAGUGUGUUUCUGUCUUUUAGUAUUAUUAACAAUGUUCUGUGGCUUCUGUAUUUGUAUUUUAUGUUUAGAUUUUUUUUUUAAUGCUUAUUGUAUCUUCUCAGGACAACCAUUCUCAGCUGGUUUUGAUCUCAUUUUCAUCUCUGGCUGUGCAUGUAGCAAAAUGAGUGCAGUUGUGGAGAUCAAGCCUUUGCACAUUAUAUGCAGAAAUGUGCUUCGUGUUUUCAUUCACCACUUUCCACACCCCAGACGGGCUUUCAGCAUAGAGUUGUCACUGUGCUAGUGUUCAGGCCUCUUGUGCUGAAGUUUUUUUGUUGGUCGAGAAUAAUAUGUCUACAGUACUAUGUACAACCUCGCUUGCACUUACUCAAGUUGUGUUUGUAUAGGGAUGUAUUGUAUGACUUUGAGAAAAAAAAACUGGGGGAAAAACCCCAAGCAAACAACAAAACUCAUGUGCUUAACAUCUAAACUACCUGUGCAGUAGAGGUUCUUCAAUUCCUUUUAUAAACCCCUCUUCCUUUUCCCUGUUACAGAUAAUUAAUCUGCCUUUCUAUGCAUAUAGGGUUGCGGUAGUGCAAUGGAAUGAAGGGAUUUUUUUGUCAUUUAUAUUGUACCAGGAAGAGAUGAGAAAUUAACUUGCAGAGGUGAAUAAAUCCUGAUCUUUAUAUGCUCUUAAGUAAGUAAGAGUAUCUGUCAUGGGUAUUACAUACUCUAUACAUUAGACCUUUUUAAAUGUAUGGUUACCAGGUGAUAGUUAAUGUGAUAAAUGUAUGAACUAUGCUUGGUGUAAUUGUUUAAAUACUGUAAAGGUGCAGCAUAUUUUUAACCUGUCUAAAGCACAUCCCCACCUCCUUUAUAAGAGAUAUUUGGAAGCUGAGCAUGAAAUGUGGUAGAAUAGAUGUUAUGAAAAUCAAGGUGAUUAUGAUAGGGUUUGACAUAGUGGUGGUCAAGGUGUAUAGUCUCUGUCUUUGAGGAAGUUCUUUUAUAAAGAAGGUGGAGAGUAGUUCUUCCAGUUCUCUUUUGUGAUUUAUUUUUUUUCCCUGAACUAAAGUUAUUAAUUAAAAAAAAAAAAAAAAAAAAAAAAAA
ensembl:lncRNA